AAAUCUGUGCUGGUGCUGUGAAAACGAAAGUAAAUAGAAUUACCAUGGAAACCGAGAAGGUUACGAGCAUGGUGCGCGUCUCACAUUUACAAUCAACCACUGCCACAUGAUUCAUGGAUUCUAAAGCUUAACUCCUCUGCCACACAGCCUUCCUUCUUUCGGAUAAAAAAGCGUGCCAUCAGAGGCUGGACAGUUUUCCCUCCUGUGGCUAUUGUUGAAAGCCUGCCACCAGCACACAGUUUGGCCAGUGCCAGAGAGAGAUUGAAAGGGAAACAGAGAGAGGAGAGUAAGGUCUGGAUUAAUCUUGUUGCAUGGCCACUGGAUGUAUGCCCACUUCAAGUAAUCCACCGCUUGGUUCCGAUUUACGCAAACCUGCCAAUUUAAUUACAAUUUUAAACCAGACAGAAUAAUUUCUCUCUUAAUUUAUAUUAUCCUUCUAGAAUCCUAAUCAUGUCUUUAUUGUUUUUAAGGGGAUUCAAUAAUUUCUUAGAACGUUUUCCAGAAUGGUAAACUGUGUUUUUUAUAUGCUUUAAAUUAAAAUGUUGAUCUUUUAAAUUAUUUAAAUAAAUAGGCAUGGCAACAACAUUAGCAUUAUUAACAAUAAAAACAAUGACAAAAUAGGGUGUUGACAGGAAGAUAAAUAUUAAUUACUAUAUAAAUAACUUUCCCUAAUAUAUAUACUCAUAAACAUAUUCACCUUAGAAGUAUUGGUUUUCUGUAUGUAUUUUAUUUAUAUUUUUAAAAGUUUUUUUACUUCUUUUUUUUGAGAGAAUUAUCAUAUUGGCACAAUAUUUUAUUCAUAUGACAUGCACCUUUGUUAUGCACUAUAAUCAAAAUGUCUUUCCAGAGAUUAUUUAUAUUAGCAUUCAUCAAGAUUUAAAUCACCAAUAAAGGCUGUGGUUGGCAAGUUUGUGUAAUUUAUUAUAUUUCGUUUUCUUUUCUUGAAUGUCACUCACAUAAAUAUACCUUUUGCUGUCUUGCAUAUUUAUGAAUGUUAUUUAUCCAUAAGCCUGUGAUGUAUUUACCAAAUUAGCAUGUUAAAUAUUUUGCAAAAUAUAAAUUUUUACUUUAAUAAAAACACCUAUAUCCCUGUCAUUAAAGAUGCAAAGGUCCAGCCAGCCAAUUGUUUUUUUCAAUUUCUAGCCGCUCAGUUUCAGUAGCUUGUAUUUAGAUUUCUCUUCAUAUCUGACAGAUGUUUUUCUGUACACUGUGGUUGUAAAGAAUAUUUAUUUCGGUUACUGUAACCUUCCUGCUAGCUUGAACCAGUGUGGUUAUUCUUUUCUUAUCUCUCUCCUUAACAAGAUGUUUUAGGCUACAGACCCACCUCUCACUGGAUGUUUUUUGUUUUCCUAU